GAUCCUGGCUCAGGAUGAACGCUGGCGGCGUGCCUAAUACAUGCAAGUCGAGCGAACGGACGAGAAGCUUGCUUCUCUGAUGUUAGCGGCGGACGGGUGAGUAACACGUGGAUAACCUACCUAUAAGACUGGGAUAACUUCGGGAAACCGGAGCUAAUACCGGAUAAUAUUUUGAACCGCAUGGUUCAAAAGUGAAAGACGGUCUUGCUGUCACUUAUAGAUGGAUCCGCGCUGCAUUAGCUAGUUGGUAAGGUAACGGCUUACCAAGGCAACGAUGCAUAGCCGACCUGAGAGGGUGAUCGGCCACACUGGAACUGAGACACGGUCCAGACUCCUACGGGAGGCAGCAGUAGGGAAUCUUCCGCAAUGGGCGAAAGCCUGACGGAGCAACGCCGCGUGAGUGAUGAAGGUCUUCGGAUCGUAAAACUCUGUUAUUAGGGAAGAACAUAUGUGUAAGUAACUGCGCACAUCUUGACGGUACCUAAUCAGAAAGCCACGGCUAACUACGUGCCAGCAGCCGCGGUAAUACGUAGGUGGCAAGCGUUAUCCGGAAUUAUUGGGCGUAAAGCGCGCGUAGGCGGUUUUUUAAGUCUGAUGUGAAAGCCCACGGCUCAACCGUGGAGGGUCAUUGGAAACUGGAAAACUUGAGUGCAGAAGAGGAAAGUGGAAUUCCAUGUGUAGCGGUGAAAUGCGCAGAGAUAUGGAGGAACACCAGUGGCGAAGGCGACUUUCUGGUCUGUAACUGACGCUGAUGUGCGAAAGCGUGGGGAUCAAACAGGAUUAGAUACCCUGGUAGUCCACGCCGUAAACGAUGAGUGCUAAGUGUUAGGGGGUUUCCGCCCCUUAGUGCUGCAGCUAACGCAUUAAGCACUCCGCCUGGGGAGUACGACCGCAAGGUUGAAACUCAAAGGAAUUGACGGGGACCCGCACAAGCGGUGGAGCAUGUGGUUUAAUUCGAAGCAACGCGAAGAACCUUACCAAAUCUUGACAUCCUUUGACAACUCUAGAGAUAGAGCCUUCCCCUUCGGGGGACAAAGUGACAGGUGGUGCAUGGUUGUCGUCAGCUCGUGUCGUGAGAUGUUGGGUUAAGUCCCGCAACGAGCGCAACCCUUAAGCUUAGUUGCCAU
rnacentral:rRNA from 1 species